rnacentral:rRNA from 1 species
AGUGAACGCUGGCGGUAGGCCUAACACAUGCAAGUCGAACGGCAGCACAGUAAGAGCUUGCUCUUACGGGUGGCGAGUGGCGGACGGGUGAGGGAUACAUCGGAAUCUACUUUUUCGUGGGGGAUAACGUAGGGAAACUUACGCUAAUACCGCAUACGACCUACAGGUGAAAGCAGGGGAUCUUCGGACCUUGCGCGAUUGAAUGAGCCGAUGUCGGAUUAGCUAGUUGGCGGGGUAAAGGCCCACCAAGGCGACGAUCCGUAGCUGGUCUGAGAGGAUGAUCAGCCACACUGGAACUGAGACACGGUCCAGACUCCUACGGGAGGCAGCAGUGGGGAAUAUUGGACAAUGGGCGCAAGCCUGAUCCAGCCAUACCGCGUGGGUGAAGAAGGCCUUCGGGUUGUAAAGCCCUUUUGUUGGGAAAGAAAAGCAGCAGGUUAAUACCCCGCUGUUCUGACGGUACCCAAAGAAUAAGCACCGGCUAACUUCGUG